rnacentral:lncRNA from 1 species
UCAACGCAGCGUUCUUAUCAAAGCCAUUUCGUCCGGUGCAGUGAUCAUCAUCGGUCUCAUCACAGCCGUCCAUCAUCAUCAUCUCCCUUACAUCCUCUUCUUUCCACCCUCCGUUCCUCAAUCUCCAAAACACCUCCUCCAAGCACCCCCCUAACUCCCCACUCCACCACCUGCGCGUGCCACCACGCGCCGCCAGCCUUUCCCCCUCUCCACCAACUCCGACCAUACCUCGAUCCUCCUCGGCUCAGUCGCGGCCCAGGCCGGCGUGCUGAAUAAUUUGGACAAGGUGGGCCUUCUCAAGAUGUCCUCGUUCGUCGUGAAUUCCGCCUGCUGGAAGAAUCCGGCUAUAUCGAAACUCCACAGCUGAACAUUCCCUCCAUGCACGUAAAACACGGGAUUCCCCGCCAUACACGGCGUCGAAGGAACGUAGAAAUGCCGGUACACCGGAACAAGAAACGGCGCAUUUCUCAUGAAUCCUUUACCUAAAUUCACAGCUUGAUCAUCAUCUCCUGGCCUUUCACCCCAAGAAUCGAGCCACAAAUGGUUUCUUGAUAUUUCCUUGCAUACACCUGAGACGGGUAGACUGGUGAGGGCCUGAAGUUGUUGAACGGAGGAGGAUGAUCGCCAGUUGGGGAAGCGGGGCCCACAGGGAGGCCUUCUUGGAGAAUAGAACGUAAAUCGGGGGGAAAUGUGAAAUUGAAGGUGGAUUCAAUGGAGGAUAAUUCGGCGUCGGUGAGGCCUUCUUCAAUGGGAAUAUCGGAGGAUUUUAGGUAAUGAAUGAGGUUCUUGGUGUAGGCUGCAAAUGAAAAACAAACCCGCAUGGUUUUGGAUCGGUGACCGCCAUGGUUAAUGGGCUCAGCGGUGGUUCGACGAGUAGUGCUGCUGCCAUUGAAUACGAGUACUUGGGCUAAUAUUGAUUGACAACAACAACAACAACAGUUGCAGAUAACACGUGUUAUGGAGUAGAUAAUGCAUAUGGAAGCAAGCCAGUAAUGGUAAUUCAGAUUUGAGUUUCGUGUUUAUCCACACUGGCAGGCCGGGAUAGAGUAGUUAGAGCAUAUAAGGGAGGAAAAAGUGAGUGAGUUUUUACGGGAACUUUUGAUGCUCUAUUCUCACAACUCCUCUCAUCUGAUGUCGGGACUCUUGAGACUAUUUCAAAGUAACAAUGAACUGAAGCGAUUUGUUUUGGAAUUUUGAGGGCACAAAAAUGCAAAAUGGGGUCUCUGACUAAUCAUGGAAUUGAUACGUGAAGUCUUUGCUAACUUGGCAUGGUUGUAAUGCACAGUCCAAAUGUCACUUCUUCCUGAUGAUCCAAUAUUUUGUAGGAGAUUUGGAGUCUGGCUGAAGUGCUGAACCAUGCGUUGUCAAUCAAGUUGGGGUUCUCAAUUGUUCUUUCACAUAUUUCCUUGCUUAUGGUCAGAGAUGCGGCUUUACUAAUCAGUACGAGGGCGGCCGGCAGCCUAAUUCAGAUUUAUAAGAAGAAAUUUUGUGCUAGUAGUUUAUAUCGGGAAAUCAAAAGGUUCAGAAAAUUCUAGCCGUCCAACCAAUAGUAGGCUUAGUCGCUACAGAGAAAUAUCAGGAAUUGUUAAUUGGUAUCAGGUAAGCAACUAAUUUAUAGAAAAUGUAGUUGGCUUAUGAGAAAUUUUCAGUUGCAUAAAAAAAUCAACCUUAACAACAAGACAUUUGUUAUUUGUUUCACCAGCUGUUAUAAUACAAAUGUUCAAAUUUUAGGCACCGACCGCCCUUCUCGAUCACCUUCCCCUUCGUCCGCCCUCUCCUUGCUGUGAGGGAUCAAGACCAUAUUAGUGGUGGCAUACUGCUUUAUAACGUAAUCUUUUAUAUUUGGAGGAAAUAGAGAUAAAAAAAAAUGUUAUCAAGGAGAAUUGAUGCAAGUGCUUCUAUAUAUUUAUGCAGUCGUCGAUUAACUUAGAAGUAGCACCUAUUCUUGCGCAUUUCGUCAUUUAGCUUCACUUUGAAUAAGAAAAAUGAAAAGGCAGUCGAUAUUAAUUUGUUACAAUUCAAAUCUGAAUGCCAUGAGCAUUCCUACACCAUCCAUCUCCUCAAUUUUUUACUACUAUAUUUAACUUGACUUUAGAAACAUUUUAUGGUAAAUUACUGUGACGUUAGAACUUGAACUUUGAGAAUAGCACCAGCCAAAUAAAAGUCGUCCGAGACAUCUCAGCUUCUAUCACAUUUAUAAUUUCCUUCCAUCCAAAUGAAGAGAAUUUUCUUGUCAUCUGCUCCUUGUUGGAAUUACUAUGGAAGCAACUCAGAAUUGGAGAAAAGGAAUUCGCCUAAAAGGUUCCUAACCACCAUAAUCUUGUCGAUAGCUUGUCUAUUGCUUUGACCGUUUCUCCUCCUUCUUCUUCUUCUUCGUAUCCCCUUUUGCGCGACACGUUAUUUCUGAAAUUGGGAGUCUGUUUCUUUCUUUCUAGAUAAAUUGAGGACCGUGUUGAUAAUUACGUUUUGGCAAUCCUGAUACUUAACCUAUACAUAGAACCAUUUAUGUGCUCUUACUUUUCUAACAUUCUAUACAGAUCUCUUAAAGAGCCUGGAACACGGCUUUUUGACGAAUGACUCGAUGCUUGGGAUUUUUUUUAGGACACGGUGGAAUCUAUUUUAGACAUGCUCCUACUUUAUACUAGAGGGAAGGAAGGACCCGAAGAGAUCCGCUAGGACACGAUGGAAUCUAUUUUAGAUAUACUCCUACUUCAUACUAGAGGGAAGGAAGGACCUAAAGAUAUCCAAGAAGAACUUGGAGGGGACUAAUUACCGGCUCAAAUGGGUAUCUUCUCCGUUUGACAUGCGGCUGUGUUUACACGGAUGCUUACCUUCACAAGAUCGAGUUGCUAAUAAGGCACAAAACAUACAGGUUAAAUUUAAACUCAAUUCUAUCAGUAGUUCUUCAAAUGGAUGCAAAAUUUUCGCACAAGUAUGUCCAACAUUGUCAAAUUUCAAGGACCUUUCACUGGUCAAGCAUUAUCUUCUGCCCCCGAGCUCUUGUCAUUCUCCGGUUCUUGUUUUUUCAUCAUCAACUAAUUCAGCUUCCACAGUUUGAACAACCGAUCCAUCCUCUUUGUUCCCAAAGUUCCAGCCAACGACAGCUUUGCUUUCCUGUUCUAGAAUAUUCAUGUUGUUAUGGGAUAUUUGAGCUGUAAAAUCCAGCAAAUCUUUUCCACAUUCUUCAGGGGAGGUAGUUGAUGUCCAGAGCAAAUUUGCAUUACAGGUCAUCUCCACAAAGUUUCCAGAAGAAUUACUUUCUCCAGUCCUAUAAACAUUCUGAGAUGAAUUUGUAAAAGAAGUGGAGCCCCCGUGUCAUAAUUCUUCAACUCAGGCUUGAUGGAAGCCUUGCUAAUUAGGACUGCAGAAUGAUGAUCGGAAAUGGUGUCGCAUAAUCCGCUGCUACAUGGAAUCUCAAGACUGCCACUAGAAUUGAUGAAAGGAAUUUUAACCUUUCCAUCGUUUGUAUACUGCACAGAAGGCUCAUUUUCCACUUUUUUUAAAAUCACUUUCUCAUAGUGUAGUUUUUCAGUCUGACAAAGAGUUUCAAGUAGUCCAGACUUCCUAUUCCAAAUUCGAGGGCAUGAAGUAUCUGUUGAUGGCAACCUUCCAUCUGGGGUUACCAGUUUCUCCAGCCUUCCUCUCUUUGAAGUCUUUGCACCUGAAGAAACCCCAGUUGCAGUAGUUGUUCCCUCUUUUACAACAGGUUUUAGGCACAAUACGUCUUCCUCAAGCUUUGUUAACCGGCCCUUACAAUCUGCCAGUUCAGAUUGCAACUCACCAACAAUCUUCCGUAGGUGAACAUUCUCCAAAGGCUGUUGCCCCAAACACCAAAGAGCAAAAGGAAAAAACAAACAAUGGCAUCAAGGUAACUUACACCACAGAGUAAAGAAUGGGCCACAAAGAAAUGUAUAUCCUAGUAUCUUACUUGAGCUUCCCAUGGUUGCUGGUGUAUCAGAGAGAGUUUUGCGGUUGGUCUCAUCGUACUUCCCUGGUUUGAUGUGGUGGAAGCCGAUGAAGAACCGGGUAUUGGUGGCUGAAUUGGAGAGAAAUAAGGACAGUGUCCAGGGAAGGCACUGCUAUGAGGAGGUAGUAGAUGUUGUGGAAGGCUCAACCAAGAUGAAGGAUCCCAAGGGCCUAUUAAAUAUUAACAAGUAAUAUCUUCUGCAUUAGUGGCACAUAUAGCACUACAUCAGAAUUAAUCAGCUAUGAAUGAUCAAAUUUAACUAUGUUUAUUCUUGAACUACUGUUAGAAUGUAUAUGGCAUAUUUGCAAAUAUGGCCGUUGAAAACAGCAAACAAUUAGUCAAAACACUCCUCAGUACUUCUUUGACACCUCAACAGACUUGAUCCCAAUACCACGACCUUCCAAGCCACAUUCUCUGGGUAAAUCAAAUUUGUUCUGGAGAACUUGUCAGAAACUUCCCACAAUGUCAAGCGUGAAACAGAUUGAUUGUGACAUUAUACCUGGAAAGCCUGGAUAUGGGUAGCCAACAUGGUAACAAUAGCUAGGACUCUGCUGCUGGCUUCUUAGAGUUGCUCCAUAACCAGGUCCGCCCCUAAUGCCAGGCGUUCCUGCAGGAGGAGGGACAGGCUGAUAGAGAGCUGGCAGACUGGCACCCGGCAAAUGUUGACCAGGGAGCAGGGGAAUCCAGGAUGGCAUGUUGAGUUGUGUAAACGGGGGCAUUGGUUGUUCCUGUUGGAACUGCUGCAUAGUGCAAGUUUGUUGCUGAUUCUGCGGUUGAUGACACUGGCCUGGGAUGAGUGGUGGAGGCAACUGGUUGAGACUGCAGGAUUUUAGGAUCAAAGGGGACUUUUCACAAGCAGGUUGAGAUGAACAAGGAAAUUGGACCCCAUCUUCAGUAUGCUCCUUCGGGGAAGUUGCAUUUUCAAAGUGAAGAGCCGCCGACCGCUGUACUAUUAUUUUGAUUUUGAUGUUCAAUUAGCUGUUCAAGAAUGGAUUCAUUUAUCGGCGUAAAUAACACGAGGAAAUUAAGCAAUCAAGAGUACUAAUAAGUAGUUAUAUUCCUGUAGCAUUAAGGAUCUCAAUAAAAUUAAUUUCAAUGCCAUAAUGCAGGAGGACAGGCACAAAUCAAGUACUUUGACAGUGUCGAAAAAUGAUCUGCAAGAACUGCUGCUUGCUUGAAUAUUCUUUUAGAGGUAACCUUGAAGCACCAAAAGUAAGGGGAAUUGAUCAACUGGGAAAUUAGGGACCGGUACAAUUAUUUGCGGAGUAUUCUGGGGGAAAAAAAAUCAAAUCGGUCCUUCUAUCUCUCUCUCGUUAUCUGGGUACAACUCCCAACACAUGCAGCAAGAAACAAAACAUCAAGACGAAAAAAGAAAAAAGUGAAGAACCAAAAAAAACUUACUAAUGAUUUUUAAGUAUGUUGUGAAAAUAACGGGGAGCCCAGGAGUACUUUUUAGCAGGGAAACUUGCAUAUGAAAAAUCCACCAAAUAAUGGAGUGAGGAGAUGCAUUACCCGUUCUCCAUUGAACCACUAGCAUCUGGAGAGGUAGAGUUUUCAUGUUUUUUCUUUUUAUUCUUCUAAUUCAUGGUUUUUUGCAAAGUGAUUAUUUCUUUCCCUACAUUUUGAGAAAGGGGAGCAAAGGUAUAAGUAAAGAGGGAGUAGAGCAGUGGCCUCCGCCGGUAAAAGCCUGCCGUACAAGUGUACAACAACAAGAGAAGUGGUGCGUUGGAAUUUUAAGCCCCAAAGCCAGAAACAAGGAAAACGUGCGUGGUGCGGGAGCCGGGGAAUUUCUACUUUUGGAGCACCAUUUUCUAAUUUCUACUCCAUUGCCGCCCUGCCGCAAAUUUGUCCUCUGUCUGGUCCAUCACAGCCGUUUUUUUUUUUUUUUUUUUGGGUAAUAAAAGAUUGCAUAAAUAAAAAUUUUAAGUCCGUACAUCACAUAUUUGUUUGGGAUGGAAGGACCCCUUAAAUCACCACACAAAAUAGUUCGUAGCUGAGGAGGACAGUUAUGAUAAGAGUGAAAAAGUCGACAAAAAGAUUUCCAUCCUCAAAUCAUCACAGCCGUUGCAUUUUGCAUCAUUUUGACCUUUCUUCCUCAGCUCAACUGCACGAAGAACGAAUGAGCAUUGUAUUUGACGAUAGCCAUCUUAUUUUACCGGUUAAAGAGUCAAAGAACAAAAAAUAAUAAUAAUAUAAUAAUAAAAGACAGAGCAAGGCAAACACUUGUCGAGUUUUAAAGGUGUUGAAGGCUUGUUUGGGGAGUUAUUAGUGUCAAAAGCUCUUAUUAUUAUUCAGUACUAAUACACAAAGGAUGGUCCUCGAUCUUGGUUUUAAAAUUUCUCAUACAAAUUCUAUUAAUCUUUUUUCUUGUGCACCAAUUUUAAAAGUAUCUGUUGGUGUACAUUAUUACCUUACUCUUGGAAGCCCAUGCGCAUAAAAAAAAAAAAAAUUUUUUUUUUUGGAGCUCAGGCGUUCAACAGUAUCCUCGAAAGAAUUGAUUGUAUAAGAUCAGUAUUUUUGGAGUAGUACUUACGUAGACGAGAUAUAACCAGCAGAGCAGAGAAGAAACCAAAUAAAUAAGAUAAAGAAAUGAUAUAUAUAUAUAUAUAUAUAUGCAGAUAACGUUUCAGUAAUAGAAGGAUUUGAUUUAUUAAACGAUCACAAGAAAAAUUAACGUUAGAGAGUGAAAAUAUCAAGGCAACUAACGAGGUUGAUAAUUCCAUGUGCACUAGAUUCAUGAUUCUCGCAAGACAUAUUGGAAAAGGACGAGAGGGCACUGAUCGAUCGAUCGAGGAUGUUAAAUAGAAGCUAGCAAUUCCGAAAGAGAAGGCCUAUAAUGAUGAGAAGCGUCUGUCAAAUGAGCAAGGACGACUUGCCACCAUAUCAAAAUCAGAAAGGCUUUGAACGUACGCAGGCAGUAGGAGGCAAGUCAUCCUUGUUGGCGAUGAAACCAGAGUCUCCUCCCCAUUUUAGGCCAAUCAGAGUCUUUCUACACAAAAUGUUGAUCCAAUUAAGCCAGAAGAAGUACGUCUAUUUUCUGAACGCAAUUGAUCGAAUUGCUCAAUAUUCAAGACUGUACCUGAGGAGGCGAUUUUUGGUUGGUAACUAGACCGACCUGGAUCAGUCCUCUCUGAGAUGAAGUGAGGUGAACUCCUGUGUCCGAAGUGAACCUCCUUGUCCGAAGUGAGUGGCGGGGCUUCUCCCCUGGUAUCACUCCGACGAUCAAGUUAGUAUGAGAACGAGAAUAAUGAGAAUGAGUUAAUGAACAGUGUAUGCUUACUUGUUGGGAGUGUGAGUGAGGUAUUUAUAGAAGAGAGGUGGUCAAGACGGAAGGCUCAUGCUAGCGGGACCCACUCUCUGGCAUUACGGCUCUGUCUCCUGUCAGGAGGUCUGACUCUGACACUGUAGCCGCCUGGGAGUGAUGACGGAGGAUAUGGUGCAGGUGCCAUUAAGUGCCUCCAGUGCUUUUCAGAUAAAGUGCUGGUCCUGGAUGAUGUCAGGUGGGUUGACAUCAUCAGCGUGCAGCCGAGGUGGAUGUGCCGAGGUCACCUACACGGUGGACUAGGGAUGAAGCCGAGCUCUGGGGUUGUGCUCAAGACAGGGAUGAGCUCCGGUGAGGGACGAGACUUGUGUUCACCUCGGACACCCGCGUGUCCGAGGUGAGCAUCCUCAAUAAGCCCCCCAAGCCUCGGGAGCUUCGGGCCAGGGAGGUACCGAGGCUUCCUUCUGCCGAAGUCGUGAAGAGUCGGUGUCCCGAGCCUACUCCGGAAGGUGCGGGGACGUGACACGUGGGCAUGUCAGUUGAAGGGACCUGGAGAGUGAGUCGGCACGUAACCGUCACGUCGUGAAGUAGUGGGACGUUUCGUGCAGAGAGUGUCAGUUACAACGAGGACUCCAAGGAGUUGUGCGACCGGAUGGCUGAAGGCCUCCAAACUGGAAGGAACCUGGCCGAGGUCCUGGCCGAGUUCAACAAAUGGCUGUCCGAACUCGACGAAGUGUUCGAGGAGGUUGAAGAGGAAGAAACUGGAAGAGAGGAUGCCGAGGGAGACGAAGCCGGAGGGGGCGAAGUCGGAGGGGACGUCGUGCAAAGAGCCUGGAGAUGAAGUUCACCCCGGCGGAAAGGAGACCGAAGAGAAAGAUGCCCAGGAGGGAGCCAAGACCGGGAUUGGAGCCGAUACGGGGAUGUAGGCUCGUAGGCUUUAAAGGGGUGGCCGAGGUGAAAAGUGUUUAGUAGCACUCUGACCUCGGCCUUGUAUUUUUUGUAACACUUCUGUUGAAUGAAAGUCUAUUUCUUCUCAUCUCAGCUCUUUAAUUUCUUGCUUUGCUUUGACUUCAUCCCUUGCUUGUCCCCCUUAUUUUUUGAUAGCGUAAUAACCCUAUUGUUCUCAAGUCGUUAGCCGAGGUGGUAAAACGGGCAGAUACCACCUUGAUUUAUAAUGGGCCGAGGUGGCCCUUCGGGAGGUGCCACUGAGUAAGGUCGAGGUGGCCUUGCGGGAGGUGCCGCUGAUUAAGGCCUAAGUGGCCCUGCGGGAGGUGCCACUGAUUAAGGCGAGGUGGCCCUUCGGGAGGUGCCACUGCACUGAGGAAGGGCCUGCCACUGAGUAAGGCCGAGGUGGCCCUUCGGGAGGUGCCACUGAGGAAGGUCGAGAUGGCCCUUCGGGAGGUGCCACUGAGUAAGGUCUAAGUGGCCCCACUGAUUAAGGCCGAGGUGGCCCUUCGGGAGGUGCCACUGAGGAAGGUCGAGGUGGCCCUCGGGAGGUGCCGCUGAGGAAGGCCGAGGUGGCUCUUCGGGAGGUGCCACUGAGGAAGGCCUGCCACUGAGUAAGGCCUAAGUGGCCCUGCGGGAGGUGCGCUGAGAAGGCCGAGGUGGCCCUUCGGGAGGUGCCACUGAGGAAGGUCGAGGUGGCCCUUCGGGAGGUGCCACUGAGUAAGGCCUAAGUGGCCCUGCGGAGGUGCCACUGAUUAAGGCCGAGGUGGCCCUGCGGGAGGUGCCGCUGAGGAAGGCCGAGGUGGCCCUGCGGCUCAGCUCGGCUGACUGAAUUUUUCCUCAGAACCAAGUCUCCAGGCUGGAAUUGAGCGGUGUCAGCUCAGCGUCCGAGAGUGGACGAUCUUCCUUUCACUAUUCGAUCGAAAACACUCCGGCGGUCCCGGAGUUGGGUUGAAGUGCCACUUGGGCCGAGUUCACCUCGGCCGGUGUCUCCUCCGUGGAUCUGGCCCCGUACGAGAUGCUUGGGCUUCUCGCUUCAUGCGGUUCACAUCCUCACUUCGGAUUCCCUGGUCCACUCUAUCCCAGAGUUCCCGAAGUGUACGGGGGUACUCCCGAUGGAUUUCAGUGUUGAAGAUUCCGCACCAAUCCGUUGGUAAAGGCCGCGAGAGUUACCUGCUCAUUCUGAUCAGGUAUUUGCACAUUCUCCUCGUUGAACCUUUGAGCAUACGAGCGAAGAGACUCGCCCUGACCCUGUUGAAGGUUCAAGAGAUAAGCUGAAGUUUUCGUGAUUGAUCGAGACGACACGAAGCGGUGGAUGAACCGAUCUAUCAGCUCAUCCAGGGAGGAAAUGCUCCCCGGUUCCAAACUCCAGAACCACUUCCGGGCAGUCCCAUGUAGGAAAAUGGGGAAAGCUCGGCAGAUCACAGCGUCGGGACGCAGCAGUAGAGCCGGAAUGCAGAGAUGAAGGCGCGGAGAUGAUCCUCGGGGUCACUUCGGCCGUCAUAGGUGGGCAAGUUUGGAAGCUUGAAGUUCGGGGGUACCAUCUCCCCAUUGAUGUCAUCAGUAAAGGGCGGAGCCCUCAUGUAGUCAGAAGCUAGGCCCCGGGCGCCGAGGUGGGUCCUCAGCUCGUUUCCCCAGCAGUCCCCGAGAAAACGUCCGGGAGAUGGAGGCAAGUUUAGACGUCGCCUUGGAGGAGGCGCGCCUGGAGGUACUUCGAGAGAGUCGCCCCUCAUCUGAGUCUUCACCUGAAGGUACCUCAGGGGACUUCGUCGGCCUCCUCUUGGAGGACUCGGCCUUUUCUUUCCCCUGUCUUUUGAGGUACCUUCCUAGCUCCUCAAAAAUGGUAGGGUUGUGUGAUACGAACUCGGCCAUCUUGGCGAUGGCCUCCUCGUUGUUAGGCUGGGUCCUCGGGGACCCUUGCUCUUCAGAGAUGCGAUCUUGCUGGGCUCCGAGGUCUGCCCAGCCCCAGUUGAGGGAACUCGACCACUUCUGGAGCGCGUGGAUCUCAUUUUAGUAACAGUAGUCUCGUUCCCACAGACGGCGCCAAUUGAGGAGGCGAUUUUUGGUUGGUAACUAGACCGACCUGGAUCAGUCCUCUCUGAGAUGAAGUGAGGUGAACUCCUGUGUCCGAAGUGAACCUCCUUGUCCGAAGUGAGUGGCGGGGCUUCUCCCCUGGUAUCACUCCGACGAUCAAGUUAGUAUGAGAACGAGAAUAAUGAGAAUGAGUUAAUGAACAGUGUAUGCUUACUUGUUGGGAGUGUGAGUGAGGUAUUUAUAGAAGAGAGGUGGUCAAGACGGAAGGCUCAUGCUAGCGGACCCACUCUCUGGCAUUACGGCUCUGUCUCCUGUCAGGAGGUCUGACUCUGACACUGUAGCCGCCUGGGAGUGAUGACGGAGGAUAUGGUGCAGGUGCCAUUAAGUGCCUCCAGUGCUUUUCAGAUAAAGUGCUGGUCCUGGAUGAUGUCAGGUGGGUUGACAUCAUCAGCGUGCAGCCGAGGUGGAUGUGCCGAGGUCACCUACACGGUGGACUAGGGAUGAAGCCGAGCUCUGGGGUUGUGCUCAAGACAGGGAAUGAGCUCCGGUGAGGGACGAGACUUGUGUUCACCUCGGACACCCGCGUGUCCGAGGUGAGCAUCCUCAGUACCCUAAGAAGAAGACAAUAAAAAAAAAAUGCAGGGCUUACGUGAAGCACAAGAGACAUAAAUUAACUAGUGGAGUGCUACGUAACUUGAAGCUGCAUGCCAAGCUACAGGUGAAGAGAGUGCUGCUUCAUGUGAGACCUCCCUUUCAAAUGGGAUUCCAUGAAAUUUUCUUGUGCUUCGAUGAUGAUCAGUUCAUUACAAGUUAAUAUAUAUAUAGAGCUACAGAUCGAAAGGAAGGUGGGGGUCGACGAUCUCGCAGUUUGAGCUCCCCUAACCGAGAUUUUCCUCAAUAAUUAUUAUCCAAUGAAAGAAUAUAUUCUACCUGUGCUACAGGAGAGGAGAGUAGGGGCCCCGACUUAUCUUCUUCAGUCUUCAUCUCUUACAACUUGAUACGAUGGAGAACAGAAUUUCAACGUAAAGAUGCCCUUCGAUCACUUUCUUGCCUCUGCUGCUCUCGUGAAACUUAGAUGUUGGCAACUUGCCCGGAAUCAAUUUCCCUACAAAUCAAAUGCUUAACAGAUUUGUUUCCCCCCCCCCCUUUUUUUUGUUGGAUUAAAGAGGAAAGUAAACGUUAUAAAGAGGAGUACAUAGUAACGCCACUGACACAACAUCUGCUAGGCGACUUAGAGUCAACAUUAAAAUUGUAAUCAACUCCCCAAUGUGCUAAGAAUCAGCACAAUCAAUCAACUCCCCAAGUGUUUUUACAAUAACAUCCCUAAAAAAAAUAUAUAUAUAUAUAUAUAUAUCCCCGAGUGCCAACUUUCACAUUUGAGUGACAUUUUUUCUUAAUAAGAAGAAAAACUACACUGAUAAUCAUAUGUAAAUUAUUUGCAAAUUCAAACUGAAAUUUCUUACGCCAAAAAAUUUAAAAAAAAACACUGAAAAUGCAGAAAUUUGUUAAUAGUAUACAUUCAUGUGAGUCUUGACAACAUUGCGUGUUAAUAUUAUCCAGAUUUUGGCUUUCAGAUAAUUUGUUCGUUUUUUUUUGUCAAAAAUAAAGAACAAAAGAAGGAAAAAGCAAAAUGUUAAUCAGUUUGUUCUCAUUUGCUAUAGUUAAAAGAUUAGACAACUGUUGUGGUUUUGGCGCGGUUGGUUCGAACUUUUCUUUCUUUCUCUUUUUUUUUUUUUUCUUUUGCAUUAAAUUGAAAAACAAACUUUUUUUUUUUCUUUCUAUAAGGGCCUUGCUGUAUGUUGUACACGAAAUUAAGGAACUAAAUUACUAGUAUUACUCAGUUUGUUUCGUUUAUCCUUAGUUGAGAUAUUCCUAGAUAGCAAAGUGAGGAGUAUUUUCAGUUGGAAAUCUAAAUUUUUUUUAACCCUCCCUACACCCUUUCCAUCCUUGCCACUACUACAGCUACCCAAAAUAUGAUCGAUCUUCUGAUCGAGAACACCAUUUCUUAUCAAGAUCGUUCUGAGUUCCCUUGGUCUUCCUUGUACCAUUCUAAGAUGCAUCUACAUAUAUCUUAAUGUAUAAUUAGCAACAGCCUUCAAGACUUCAAUGGCUGAGUUGACAAAAGAUUGAAAGCUUGCUGCUUUUGUUGCCCUGCUGGUCUUCUAAGCUGGCCAGAAAGGGUGUCUUGACAAAAUCAUCAAGAAGCCAGAAAAAAGUUCGUCAUCCCUUGGCAUAGCACCUCAUAAAUUAGUACACAAUGUCUGAAUUUUCUUCAGGCCUUAGGAGAGGAGUACUAAAAGCCAACCAAAAAGUCAUAAAUUUAACCGAUGGUUACUUGAUUCCUCGUCAGACUUACACAAGAGCAAUAGACGCUUAUUGAUUUUCUCCGGGAAAACAGAUCACAUGUUUUUCAUGUUAUUCGAUUUGGAAUGAUAUUCCAUUAAGUCAGAGUUUGAGUCUUGCUGAUCAAAAUCGUCGACUAAGGUAUUUUUAAGGUUAUGGACAAGAAAAAAUACAGGCUAGUUUUUGCUUUGAUGUUGUAGAACUAAACUUGUACACUAGUUUUUCUUCAAGAAAGCCAAUGAGAUUAAAAUGGCACUGCCUUUAGAGAGAGUAACUAAGUACCAGGUUUCAGCAUUGUCAAGGAGUGAUGUACUGUUGUGACUAGAGCAUAUUUGUCUCUUUAGAGAAUAACAAGGAUUAAUUCCAUUUUGCAUCCUUCAACUAUACCCAAAUUCUUUAAAAAAAAAAAAAAAGCCUAUACCCGAAUUCUUACUUUGAUACCUGAACUUCAAAUGGAAUGCUUUAGUCUCUAAAGUAUAAAAUUUGUCACAUUUUAGUUCAAAAGAAGAAAACCUAUCCUAUUUUAUUUCUUUAAAUACAAAGUCAGUCCACUUUAGUUUCUUAAAUUAUAAAAUCUAUACAAUUAAAUAUAAAAUUUGUUCCAUUUCUCUCAACGAUUUUGCUUAAGUGGGACAAAUUUUAUGUUUUAGCGAUCAAGUUUUUAAUUUUAAAAUUUAGGGAUCGAUGUGUACAUCUCAUUACUUGAGAGGUGGAAAGUGAAAUUAACCCAAAAAAAUAACGAUGCAAUCAUCAUCUGGCAAGUUGGUCGUGAGUACGUGACGUAGCGUUCAUAUAAAUAUGGUAACCUGAUUACAGCUAGUUCAGGAAGUCGCCCCAAAAAGAAAAGAUGAACAAAUUAAUGAGCAUGUAUUUGAUAACUACAAGAAUCUGAUCCAAAGCGCAAAACAAAAUUACAGGUAGAGAAUGAAAACUUCCAUAUUUUAACUCAGCGCUCGAGAACUUUAUAUUCAUCGUUAAAGAAAAAACUUUAUAUUCAUCUAUCCAAAACCUAUAACAUCAAUGGAUUCUUUUUCUCUUAGUCCAGGAGGGGAUUACCGAAUCGGCUUGAUGGAGGGUGCCAGGUAGUAAAAAUUCUGAAAGAGAAUGCCAAGAAUGACGAGGAAAGCCUGUCAAGUAGCCGGACGACUCGCCUGCAAAUCCAUUAAUGAAGAAUUUACACUUGUACAUGGAUGGAUCUUGAAGGAUGAAGAGGCAAGCCAUCCUUGGCUACGAAACAGGACUCUCAGCCCCAUUCCAGGCAUUUCUUUCUAUAAAAUGUUAACCUCGAAUUAUAUCGAAAAGGUAUACAAGUGCACUCUUGACUGAUAACGAUCCCCGAUAACUCAACGGAAAAGGGGUCUUGCGUGAAGAAAAAGAGACAUAUUAGUCAAGUGGCCGCCAAGGCCAAACAGCACGAGGCUUCUUCACGUAAGACCUCACUUUGGAAUUAUUGAGUUGGUCUUUUUCUUGUAUAUAUGCUGAUGAUCGUCUGUUUCAAGUGUCUAUUUAUAGCGACAGAAAAUGAAAGAUGAGAGGCUUCGGAAUUAGAUGAUGCGCAAGUUAGAGCUAGCUUGCUUCCCUAGCAAAGUAACUUUCUUCACUAUUAUUUUCGUGAAAGAAUAAAUUCUCUUCCUGUUUCAGGGGUGCAGAGGACCCCAACUUAUCUAGUACCUCAUGUUCGUACAGCUGAAAGAUGAUAGGAGAGCUAGCCGAAUUUCAACGUAAAAGUCCCAUUAAUUCGCACGUUUUGUUGGCAACUUGCACCGAAUCAUUGCAAUAAGUGCAAUGAAUUUCCUUUUCCAUAUCUGGUCAAUGUUCAGUAGAAUCAUUGCAAUUAGCGCAUGGCUUGAAACCUGGGACCUCUUCAAAACCCGAGCAGCCAAAUAAGAGCCGGGGGGGGGAGGGGGGGUGGGUUUUUUUGGUGUAACUUUUCUUCCUUCGGCUAGUUCACUAAGUAAUGUGUAGGAUCAAACCAUGAUAUUAUCUGCUGUCAAAUUCCCAGUCACCCAGUUAUAUAACUUCUCAAUGUCCUGGACAUAUUACUGGCACUUGCAAAGUCACACUAAAGCCUUUCUACCCAAGAAAAAGAAAACUAAAGCUUUUCUUUUUCUUUUCGCUUUUUCCACUAAAGUUCAUGUUAAGGAAGAAUUUCAGUUGAAGGAAGAAAAUUCAGCAAAGCAGUAGCGUUAACUCGGAUGGCAAAGUCGUUCAUUUUUUAUUAUUUCGGUGAAAUGUCAGUCAUUUGUGAACUUUUGGAGUUUGGACUUUUUUUUUUUUUUUUUGGUAAAUAAAGAUGCAUUAAAAAUAAAAUCAAGUCAACAGAGUGCAAAUUAAGGUACAGUCAUCCGUGGGAGGAAACCCCCUUUAAGUCUUGCAAAAGUAAGGGAAGUACAAAAUUAGGACAUAAUUCAAAAAAAGUGAAGUCUUGAGUGUUGCUUCUUCCCCAGUUGGCAAGGAUGUCUGCACAUUUGUUUGCUUCUCUAUAAUUAUGGUGAAAACAUACUUUCUGGAAUGUAGUCAAUAGCUCCCUGCAAUCAAGAAUAAUAGGUGCAAGUUCAUGAGAAAUAAGAUUAUUUGACUUACACAAGGAGAAUAUAAAGGCAGAGUCCAUCUCCACUUCGAGAGAGUGGAUGUUGAGAUUUUUCGCAAGUUGUAAGCCUUCUCUAAGAGCCCAACAUUCAGCAGAAGGAACUGAACAGAAGCCUAAAUUUCUUGCAAAGCCCGCAAUCCAUAUCCCAUUUGAGUCACGAAUUAUGCCACCAGCUCCUGCCUGGUUUGUUGGUCCAGAGACUGAACCAUCAGUAUUGAGCUUGGCGAAACCUAUAGCAGGGGGGGAUCCAUCUGAUGAAUUUUUCUUGUCUAGGGGAUCUGGAGAUAUGAGAACCAGGCCCUAGUAGGUAAAAUUCAUGAGCAUGGUGAAGACAAAACUUGAUAGGAUCAUCAAUUUUGUUUUUUUGAAAGAUCUUGGCAUUGCGAGCUUGCCAGAGGCUCCAACAACCAAAGCUAAAAAUGGUUCCCCAAGGAAUAAGGUUGAAAGGGGAAGGAAUGUUGGACGAGCAUCCAUCCUUGAUCCAGGAAUAGAAAUCCGAGCUGGUUUGGAGGGAGUUUUGGGAGGAUGGGUGAGUUUAAGCCAGAAGGAGGUUGCUUGGGGACAAGAUCUUAGUAUGUGAUUCGAAUCUUCAGAAGGAGCUUGACAAAAAGGGCAAGAGGCUUCGGAAAGAAUUGUGCGAUGUGUGAGAAGACUUUUUGAAGGGAGUCUAUCCUGGGAUGCUAGCCAAAGGAAAUGCUUGACUUUUGAGGAGUAUUAACUUUCCAAAUCCAGCGAAAAUGGGAUGGAGCUCUAGAAUCAACUGGAAAUAAGGGAGGAUUUUUGCAAAGGUUAUAAGCAGAUUUCGAGUUGAAAACCCCAUUGCUGGAGUAAUUCCACCUAAAGAAAUCAUGGGAUGGAUUGAGCUCUUGUCUUGGUGUACCCUUGAUCUCCUUCACGAGCUGGAGAGGAAGCUGGAAGGAUAUUCUAUCAAGGUUCCAACUGGUGGGGAGUGAAAAAGUUGAAAAACUCUUAAGUCCUCUUCCCCCUCAGUUAGAGGUCCUUGGAUCUGGCUUCUGAUAGAGCCUGAUUGAAGCCAUUUGUCUCCCCAAAAUCUGACUAAAUGCCCAUCUCUGAUAGACCAAAUUAAACCUUCAUUGAAGGUUUUGAUCCCAAUGUUGGAGUUUGGACUGUUGAAGCCUGUCGAUGCGGUUGGAUUUGCAACGUUGUGAGUUUGUUUGGACAAAGAUAAUUUGAUUUGCAAAAUUUAUUCUCACAAAUCCCAAUCACCUUUUUAUCUCACAUACAUCACAUCACAAAAAGUGCUACAGUAAAUAUCUCAAAUAAAUCAUCCAAAUAAACUCUUAUCCAAACAAACUCGUGCUUCUUUUUCUUUUUCUUUUUUCUUUACAUGCUUCGUUGAGAUUAUCAGAUAAAAUUCUCUUAAUUUGCUUUUUUAAUUAGCUGGGUUGACUUUAGAUUAGACUAUACCCAACUUUACCCAGUGGGUCUGAACGUUCACAUAAGUGCUGCUAUGCCUGCAGUCCUUUGCAUAAAUAAAACUGACAAUACGAAUCACGUCUGUUUUCUUUUCUCUCUGCCUGCUUUAUCACUGGAUUUUAUCCUAACUUUAGGUGGGCUUGAUUCGUAUUAGAUUGGAGCGAUAAUGAGAUGUAUUCGAUAUUCUGUACCAAUAAAGAAGGUUAUACUGCAACAAUAGACACCUCAGCUGAUCUCUCGUUUCUAUUUCCCUAAUUCAUGCUUCUAGACGUCGUUGACUAUGGGGGCAUCCUGUCCUGUCCUGUCCAGUUAGUUUCCGGUUAAACCUCUCUGAUUCUAGCUCAAUCUUCAUGCAUUAUUAUUAAGUACGAUUGCAGUUGGAGAAAGUUCUAUAACAAAUUCUCAGUCAUCAAGAUGAUUUUAACAAUUCACUUGAUAAAAUCAAGAAAAUUUUCUAAGAUUUUAGAUGGGGCAAAAUAGCGGCUGUAAAUGAAAUUACCAGAAGUCCUUCGGGUUAAAAAGCAUUAGCCAAAACUUGGGGCCGGCUGCUACCAACUCCUGCCGCAGUGGAUGUGUUUAUUUUGUGGUAACUGUCAGUUCUAGGAACGCUGGUCCGCGGGCCUUGCCUCAAAUGACUCCUUCAUAUUGUUUUGAGCCGUCAUCAAUAGUUUGAUUCGCCAACCAACCCAUUAAUUGGGAUCGUUCAUGCCUGAAUUCCAGACACCUCUAUGCCUGUCGACAUGCUUGCCAAGGUAGACGGAGAUGGAAUUCCUUCGAAGCACCGUAUCAAAGAGUGUGACAGCAUCAUGCAGAGACAGCCGCGCCGAAAAUGCGAGUGGAACAAAUACCCAGCUUUAGCACUACUACAUGCAUUUGUCUCGAUCAAAAGAGUAGAGAUUUUACAGCAAUCCAACUCUGGUACUGAAUCUUCUAGUAUUACAAUUUUCAGUGCUUCUAUCUACCUUUCUAAUUCACAGCGUACAGAAGUAGAGCUAGUCAACUUUUAGCACUUGCUACUGAAUAGUUUCUAGGACUUUUUAGACAUUGUCAAGCAUCUGCUUAGUGCUAUCCAGUUGGUAUUGGCACAGUCUAUACAUUCUAGAACAAUACCGAGGCCAGAUUCAAAACCGCAAUGAUUCUUCUUCUUCUUUUUUUUUUUUUUUUUCCUUUUUAGUGAUACACCAACACUGUAUGUGCUAUAUACUACAUUACUAAGAACGGGCCCUGGAUUUGUCUUUGAGCAAUUCUACCACUCUUCUCAUGGAGGGCCUGUUCAUUGGAAGAGAUGAAACGCACUGAAGGGCGACGUCUAAGACCACCCUAAUCUCUUCAAGCUCAGAUGUUGAUGGUUUCAACCUUGCAUCUACAAGGUGAUCCAAAUAGUCAGCACAAAUUUUGGCACUAUCGUUGGCUAUUGGUUGUUCUGCAGAUGACAAUGCCACCUCCAUUACCCACUGUACGAUAUCUUUAUUCUCCCAAAAGAGGGAUCGAUUGGCCGUUUACCAGUAAUCAGUUCCAACAGAACCACACCAAAGCUGUAUACAUCACUCUUCUCUGUGAUCUUCAGAGUGUAUGCAUAUUCUGCAGAAACAAGAAGACAGCAAAAGCAUGUUAGUUAGCCACCAUGGCUUCAGACUCAAAAGAUAAUCACAUCAGGGAAAGAACAUUUUAAAUUUGAGAGAAUUAAUAUCACGAUUACAUUAAUCGCAAUCUAGCAUUAAUUUCUAACAAUCUCCUUAAUAACUAAUAUGCACCCGAGGGCAAAGAUGAAGUAUGUCUACUUGAUGUGUUCCUUUUCCUUUCAUUCCAAGCACAAGUAAACCUAAAAACAGCUUGAAACCUAUAAUCAGAGUAUAUAACUGGUCUUGCUCCCUUCAGUAGAAGUUCAUGUCCAGCGAAGGAAAGCUAAUAACAAAAAAUGGCAUUCGAUAAAUAUAGUUCAACAUACAUUUUUAUAAUAAAUAAAAAAUGGCUUUUAACCCAGUCACUCUAACUGGUUGGAGUUGAAGCCUUCAAGACAAAAGAAAGGAGGUUUGAGAUAAACACACCAAAUAAAACUUGACUAAACCCCGGUCAAACUAAGCUCAGUGUCGCUACUAAUUCAACUAAAAUCAACUUUCUUUCAGCAAGAAUUGGUUCAAAGCCAAUUCAUAUCUUCCACUUCAAAACAAUGGGCUAAAGUUGCUAGAAUAAGACUAUCUUCCCACCAAUCUUAGUCAUAGACUAGUUCCCUCAUGCGAUUUUCCAACUGGAGCAAUUGUUUAUGUGUAAUCACGAUUACGGGUGAAUAGAGAAUUUUUAAUCUUUGUUUUUGUAUUAUACAAUUGUAUCUUACUAUUUGUUGUCCUUGGAACAGAAACUAGAUAUCUCCAAGCUCCUGUGUCUCUUUUUUUGGUCUUGCAGUCAAAUUCGCUUUUGGCCACAGACAAGUACAUGCAAUGAUUUGAAGCGAUGUCGCAACAAAGACAAAGUGACAAAACCAUCCGUAAACAUGAGGCAACUCUCAAUUCCAAUCAAAUGGAGAACUCAAAGCCUAAAACUAGUCAAAUUAAGAACUGAGAGCCUAACACCAUAUGCCGCUUGCUUGCUGGAACAAAAUCAAGAAUAGCCAUCCCCACUCUACACCCAUAAUACCCUAAUAAAAACAUAAUUGCUGCAGGGGAAACUAAAAAGAAUUACAUUAAGCCAAAUCUAUCAUAUUAAUGAAUGAAACAAUUGAUAAUUACUACAAAUAAAAGGCCAUAAUAUAGACAGAAAAGUUAUGCCUCACCUGGAGCAAUAUAGCCGUAGGAGCCAGCAAUCUGAGACAUGAGUUGGCCGCCCUCCUCCAUAUUUUUAUGCAGAGUUUUUGCCAAACCAAAAUCAGCGACCUUUGGCCUGAAUUCCUCAUCCAACAAUAAUGUUGUUAGACUUCACAUCCCUAUGAACAAUUGCGGGUACGCAAUCAUGGUGCAAAUAGGCCAGUCCUUGAGCAGCCCCAAUUGCAAUCUUGAACCUCGUAUGCCAAUCCAACAAUACCCCACCUUUCUCUCCGUGUAGUACAUCCCCAAGCUCCCAUUCUCCAUGUAAUCGUACACUAAUAUCCUAAAGUUGUCUCCAGAGCAACUGAACAACAACUUCACUAUGCAACCAUGCUUGAUUCUGCCCAAAGUCUCCACCUCUGAUUGGAACACCUCUUCAGAUUCUGGUCCACGUUAGCAUCCCAGAGUCUCUUGACUGCGACUGUCGGCCCGUUCUUCAACAUGACACGAUAAACUUGGCCCGACCCGCCUGUUGCAAUGAGAUUAUCUUGACUCAGAAAGGCAACAAUAUCUUCCUCGUUGAACCACAGUCGCUGAAAUGCAGUCAUUUUCCAUGAUUUUUUGCCCCGACCUGCAAAUAAAUUUAGCUUCUUUGACUUGAUCAAUAGCCAUAGAAAUGAUACGACGAGUAUUCCUGACAAGGCUGAUAAAAUUCCCACCAAAACCAAGCUUAUGGGUCUUCUUUUCUGGCAUGAAGGGAGAGGUUUAAGAUCAGGACUGCACAAAUCCGAAUUGCCCACUAAGCUUGAAAUGAAAAUUUCAUUGUCGAAUGCACUAGGUACUCUGCCCUGAAGCCUAUUAUUUGAUAAAUUGAACAUAUUGAGCUUGAGUUUUGACAAAUCCGAGGAAUCUCACCAGAAAGUAAAUUCUCGGAAAGAUCUAAGUAUGUCAAAUCAGGCAACUCCCCGAGCUCAGCUGGAAUUGUACCAGAAAAUUGAUUGCCAGAUAAGUUCAAUUCUGUUAAAUCAGUCCAAGUGGUAACAGAGGUCGGGAUUUCACCUGUGAUUGAGUUUUCUUGGACAUCAAGCUUGAGUAACUUGUUCAAUUUGGUAUGCACGAGGGCAGUUUGCCUGAGAACCGGUUGCUGCUAAUGUCUAUAAUUUGAAGCUGUUCCAACUCGCAUAUUCCCUCCGGCAACUGCCAGAAAAGCUGUUGCCCGAUAUCAAAAAUCCUGUUAGAUUACGGGCAUUUGAAACCGUAGGAGGAAUUUCACCCUCUAGUCUAUUGUUUCGGAGUUCAAAAAUCGUAAGCCCAGGAAAACUCCAGAAACUAGGAGGUACAACUCCAGACAGCUCAUUACUGAAAUCCGGACGUACGUUAACGAACUGCACUCACCAUACGACUCAGGGAUUGGACCAGAAAAGUUAUUGUUAAACAAAACUAAUCUGUCUAGCUGCUUCUUGAAACAAAGAUUUGGAGGCAAAGGCCCUUCUAGAAAAUUCCCAGAUACAUCAAAAUCUUCCAAGCCUGAAUUCCUUCCCAAAUUAACCGGUAAAUUGCCGGAUAAUCUGUUAUUAAAGAGCUUGAGCUGAUAAAGAUAAGGAUUUAGAGCUAAAUUUUCUGGGAUUUGGCCUUCCAAAUUGUUGUCAUUGAGAUUGAAGGAUUGCAGAGCUAAACCGGUUAGACUUUCUGGUAUUCUUCCGGUGAGAUUGUUCGAUGAAGCAUCGAAAUUAUAUAAGAAGUCAGGUUCGAAAAUGUAUCUGGAAUUUCACCGGAGAGUUGGUUUGAAUAGAGCUCUAUCUGUUCGACAGCAAUUAGUCCUCCGAUACUUUCUGGGAUCUUUCCAGUGAGGUUGUUGACGGAGAGGUCGAGGUUUUUAAGAGAUUUGAGGUUUCCAAUUGAGUCUGGGAUUGAACCAAUUAUAUUUGAAAAUGGAAACCAGAGAUUUUCGAGUUUGGUGAGGCGGCCUAUGUCGGCCGGAAGUGGGCUUGGGCCGAAAUUGUUGGCAGCGAUUUCUAGACGAGUUAACUCGGUGAGAUUGGUUAAGAAAUCCGGGAUAGACCCGUUGAGUAAGUUGGAGAGAAGACGGAGAGACCUGAAGGUUGGGUAAGCGGGAACCGUAACUCGCCGGAAUCUCACCGGAGAAAUUGUUACUGACAGGUCGAAGGUGGUGAGGUUGAGGAACUGAGUUUGAAGCUCCGGCAGCCCGCCAACGAACAAGUUGGAGGACAGAUUGAGGAAUUGCAGGUGGGAGCAGAGAGUGAGCGCUUCAGGUGAGAGGGUUCCGUUGAAGUUGUUAUCGGAAAGGUCCAGAAAGCGGAGAGUCUGAAUCCGGCAAAAGUCCGCCGGAAAAUAGCCUGAGAUGCUGAGCUGGUGAGAUUAACGGAAACGACAUCGUUAGUUUGGUUGUCACAACCAAUGCCAGUCCAGUUGCAGGGAGCAUUGGGUGCGGACUGCUGCCAAUCAGCGAGAAGACCACUGGGGUCUUGCAGUUCAUUGGCCUUGACUCGAAGCAAAACGACGACGUCCCUGUUCGAUGAACUGGUACCAGGAAUUAUCAGAGCAAUGCAGAAAAGCAGUUUGAUGAGAUAGAGAUAGAGGGGCAGAGGUCUGCAGUAAAGCAAAAGCACAUAGUACCGGCCAUUUUCUUCUGUUAAUUAAACUACCACCCCGCAAACCGCAACUACUAGAAUGUAUAAUGCAAUCUAUCUAAAGAAAAUUGAGUUUGAGGAAAUGAUGGGCUAAUUCGAUGAUGAAAUCGUGAAAAUGAGAAUUAUUCAUGAUUUGUAUUUAGCCAUUGGAUUUGAAAGACAGCAGCAGGCAACUGGCAAGUAGUGCAUGGCCAUGGACAGAGUAACA